rnacentral:rRNA from 3 species
UACGUAGGCAGCAAGCGUUGUUCGGAGUUACUGGGCGUAAAGGGUGUGUAGGCGGUCUCGUAAGUCUGGUGUGAAAUCUCCCGGCUCAACUGGGAGGGUGCGCCGGAAACUGCGAGGCUAGAGUGUGGGAUGGGAGAGUGGAAUUCCUGGUGUAGCGGUGAAAUGCGUAGAUAUCAGGAGGAACACCUGCGGUGUAGACGGCUCUCUGGACCACUACUGACGCUGAAACACGAAAGCGUGGGUAGCAAACAGG